AUGAACGCUGGCGGCGUGCCUAAUACAUGCAAGUCGAGCGAACAGACGAGGAGCUUGCUCCUCUGACGUUAGCGGCGGACGGGUGAGUAACACGUGGAUAACCUACCUAUAAGACUGGGAUAACUUCGGGAAACCGGAGCUAAUACCGGAUAAUAUAUUGAACCGCAUGGUUCAAUAGUGAAAGACGGUUUUGCUGUCACUUAUAGAUGGAUCCGCGCCGCAUUAGCUAGUUGGUAAGGUAACGGCUUACCAAGGCAACGAUGCGUAGCCGACCUGAGAGGGUGAAGGGCCAACAGGGAACAGAGAACCGGGCCAAAAUCCCAGGGGAGGCAGAAGGAGGGAAUUUUCCGAAAUGGGGGAAAGCCGGACGGGAAAACGACGGGGGAGGGAUGAAGGUUUUGGGAUCGUAAAACUCUGUUAUAAGGGAAAAAAAAAUGGGAAAGUAAAUAGGAACGUUUUGACGGUACCUAAACAAAAAGCCACGGAUAACUAAGU
rnacentral:rRNA from 1 species